AGGAAACGGAUCUAUUGGACAUCACCUACAUCAAAGAUGCAAGAACGGGGAAAUGCACCAAAACGCCAAAGGAGGCGAAGCUGCGGGAGCUGCUGGAUGUGGGGAAUCUGGUGGGCCGGAUAGAGAACCGGAUGCUGACGGUGGUGACGGGGCCAGACAUGGUCAACAUCCAGUACCUGAACUUCAUGGCCUUCCAAGAAGACGUCGCCAAGGAGUGGGCAGAUGAGCUCUUCAGUCUGGCGUCUAACCUGCUCGCUCAGAACAUGGGCCGAGAGUCCUGUCUGGA